rnacentral:SRP_RNA from 1 species
GCCGGGCGUGGUGGCGUGUGCCUGUAAUCCCAGCUGCUCAGGAGGCUGAGGCAGGAGAAUCGCUUGAACCCAGGAGGAGGUGGUUGCAGUGAACCAAAAUCGCGCCACUUCACUCCAGCCUGGGUGACAGAGUGAGACUCUGUCUCAA